rnacentral:rRNA from 1 species
CGCGUAGGCGGAUUCGUCAGUCAGGGUUGAAAGCCCUCGGCUCAACCGAGGAACUGGCCCUGAUACUGCGAGUCUUGAGGUCGGCAGGGGGAUGUGGAACGUCUGGUGGAGCGGUGAAAUGCGUAGAUAUCAGACGGAACACCGGAGGCGAAGGCGACAUCCUGGGCCGAAUCUGACGCUGAGGCGCGAAAGCGUGGGGAGCAAACA